rfam:Hebeloma cylindrosporum h7 unplaced genomic scaffold scaffold_8, whole genome shotgun sequence.
GGCCGUGUGGCGAAAUGGCAUCGCGUCUGACUACGAUUAUAUCGGCAUCAGGAGAUCGCAAGUUCGAUCCUUGUCACGGUCA